rnacentral:rRNA from 1 species
UAGGGAAUCUUCGGCAAUGGACGAAAGUCUGACCGAGCAACGCCGCGAGAGUGAAGAAGGUUUUCGGAUCGUAAAACUCUGUUGUUAGAGAAGAACAAGGACGUUAGUAACUGAACGUCCCCUGACGGUAUCUAACCAGAAAGCCACGGCUAACUACGUGCCAGCAGCCGCGGUAAUACGUAGGUGGCAAGCGUUGUCCGGAUUUAUUGGGCGUAAAGCGAGCGCAGGCGGUUUCUUAAGUCUGAUGUGAAAGCCCCCGGCUCAACCGGGGAGGGUCAUUGGAAACUGGGAGACUUGAGUGCAGAAGAGGAGAGUGGAAUUCCAUGUGUAGCGGAGAAAUGCGUAGAUAUAUGGAGGAACACCAGUGGCGAAGGCGGCUCUCUGGUCUGUAACUGACGCUGAGGCUCGAAAGCGUGGGGAGCAAACAGG